rnacentral:rRNA from 1 species
GACGAACGCUGGCGGCGUGCUUAACACAUGCAAGUCGAGCGGUAAGGCCCUUUCGGGGUACGACGAGCGGCGAACGGGUGAGUAACACGUGGGUGACCUGCCCUUACGCUCUGGGAUAAGCCUGGGAAACUGGGUCUAAUACCGGAUAUGACUCCAUGACGCAUGUUGUGGGGUGGAAAGCCUUGUGCGGCUAGGGAUGGGCCCGCGGCCUAUCAGCUUGUUGGUGGGGUGAUGGCCACCAAGGCGACGACGGGUAGCCGGCCUGAGAGGGCGACCGGCCACACUGGGGACUGAGACACGGCCCAGACUCCUACGGGAGGCAGCAGGUGGGGAAUCUUGCGCAAUGGGCGAAAGCCUGACGCAGCGACGCCGC